rnacentral:lncRNA from 1 species
CUGGGUUACUGCAGAUAAGCAAACAGACAGGAGUCCCUGCCCAUGUGGAGUUUACAUUACACUGGAGACAGACCAUAAACAAAGUAAGCAGCCAGAAUGGAUCUGAAUUGGUGAAACCCUGGACUGCCGAAGCAGAGCACGUGGACUUAACCACUCGGACAUGGGGCGGGCCCCCUGUGUUUUCACAGAUGUCCUUGGUUGUUCUCAGUAAACCUGAGUGGUCGUGAGGCACCAUUUUCCAGAGGAGGAAACGGAAGUCCAAGAAGAUUAAGCAACGAUGAGUCACUGUAGUCACGUUAUUCUCAUUCUGAAAACAACCCUUCUGUGCUCCCUAUUCCUACAGAAUCAAAUCUAAACUCCUUA